rnacentral:rRNA from 1 species
GUGCACCAGUCGAGAAUAGUCUACAAUGGACGAAAGUCUGAUAGUGCGACGCCGUGUGUGCGAUUAAUUCCUUCGGGAUGUAAAGCACUUUUCUAUGAGAUAAAAGCUCUUUAGGUUAAUAGCUUAUUGAGACGGAUAUUAUUAUAGGAAUAAGCUCCGGCUAACUCCGCGCCAGCAGCCGCGGUAAUACGGAAGGAGCGAGCGUUGUCCGGAUUUACUAGGCGUAAAGGGCUAGUAGGCGACUAAUUAAGUUAUAUGUUAAAUCCCACGGCUCAACUGUGGUCCUGCAUGUAAUACUGGUUAGAUAGAGUACUGUAGAGGAAGGCGAAU